UUACUUACCUGGCAGAGUCAACCAACUCGGGAUCAAUUAAGAAGACGAGUGGCCUAGGCUAGUGACUUGCUUAGCCUAAGGUCUUCUUCCCAAGUGGAAGAGCCUACGGCAUUAUUUGUGGGACAAGGGUUUGCGUUCGCAGCAGCCCCAAU